GUGAGGAAUAUUGGUCAAUGGGCGCGAGCCUGAACCAGCCAAGUAGCGUGCAGGAUGACGGCCCUAUGGGUUGUAAACUGCUUUUAUGCGGGGAUAAAGUGCACCACGUGUGGUGUUUUGUAGGUACCGCAUGAAUAAGGACCGGCUAAUUCCGUGCCAGCAGCCGCGGUAAUACGGAAGGUCCGGGCGUUAUCCGGAUUUAUUGGGUUUAAAGGGAGCGCAGGCUGAUUGUUAAGCGUGACGUGAAAUGUAGCCGCUCAACGGCUGAACUGCGUCGCGAACUGGCAGUCUUGAGUGAGUACGACGUCAGCGGAAUUCGUGGUGUAGCGGUGAAAUGCUUAGAUAUCACGAAGAACCCCGAUUGCGAAGGCAGCUGACGAGUCCUUUACUGACGCUAAAGCUCGAAGGUGCGGGUAUCGAACAGG
rnacentral:rRNA from 1 species